rnacentral:ncRNA from 1 species
ACCUAUCUAGCGAUAGAUAGCUGAACCAUCAGAAGUCAGCAGACGUCAUAGUACCUCACGAAUGGGAGGGAAGGAC